rnacentral:rRNA from 1 species
CUACGCUGCGAUAAGCCGUGGGGAGCUGCGAAGAAGCUUUGAUCCACGGAUUUCCGAAUGGGGAAACCCACCUUCGAUAGCCGGAACUCCAAGACCUUGUGUUUUGGGGUUCGACCAGAAAUGGAAGAAAUCAGACCGCGAGGUUUUGGAUUUCCGGUUAUCAAGAGAAGGUAUGAGACUUCCGAAUAAAAUAGGAGGUUUUAAGCAAACCUAGGGAACUGAAACAUCUAAGUACCUGGAGGAAAGGACAUCAAUCGAGACUCCGUUAGUAGUGGCGAGCGAACGCGGACCAGGCCAGUGAUACAUCAAAGACAAUCGGAACCUGUCAGGAAAGCAGGGCCUCAGAGGGUGAUAGCCCCGUACGAGUAAUGCGAUGAUGUAUCCACGAGUAAGGCGGGACACGUGUAAUCCUGUCUGAACACGGGGGGACCACCCUCCAAGCCUAAGUACUCCUCAGCGACCGAUAGU